rnacentral:rRNA from 1 species
ACGAACGCUGGCGGCGUGCCUAAUACCUGCAAGUAGAACGCUGAAGGAGGAGCUUGCUUCUCUGGAUGAGUUGCGAACGGGUGAGUAACGCGUAGGUAACCUGCCUGGUAGCGGGGGAUAACUAUUGGAAACGAUAGCUAAUACCGCAUAAGAGUAGAUGUUGCAUGACAUUUGCUUAAAAGGUGCAAUUGCAUCACUACCAGAUGGACCUGCGUUGUAUUAGCUAGUUGGUGGGGUAACGGCUCACCAAGGCGACGAUACAUAGCCGACCUGAGAGGGUGAUCGGCCACACUGGGACUGAGACACGGCCCAGACUCCUACGGGAGGCAGCAGUAGGGAAUCUUCGGCAAUGGACGGAAGUCUGACCGAGCAACGCCGCGUGAGUGAAGAAGGUUUUCGGAUCGUAAAGCUCUGUUGUAAGAGAAGAACGAGUGUGAGAGUGGAAAGUUCACACUGUGACGGUAUCUUACCAGAAAGGGACGGCUAACUACGUG